UAGGGAAUCUUCGGCAAUGGACGAAAGUCUGACCGAGCAACGACGCGUGAGUGAAGAAGGUUUUCGGAUCGUAAAACUCUGUUGUUAGAGAAGAACAAGGACGUUAGUAACUGAACGUCCCCUGACGGUAUCUAACCAGAAAGCCACGGCUAACUACGUGCCAGCAGCCGCGGUAAUACGUAGGUGGCAAGCGUUGUCCGGAUUUAUUGGGCGUAAAGCGAGCGCAGGCGGUUUCUUAAGUCUGAUGUGAAAGCCCCCGGCUCAACCGGGGAGGGUCAUUGGAAACUGGGAGACUUGAGUGCAGAAGAGGAGAGUGGAAUUCCAUGUGUAGCGGUGAAAUGCGUAGAUAUAUGGAGGAACACCAGUGGCGAAGUCGGCUCUCUGGUCUGUAACUGACUCUGAGGCUCGAAAGCGUGGGGAGCAAACAGG
rnacentral:rRNA from 1 species